GAUGAACGCUGGCGGCGUGCCUAAUACAUGCAAGUCGUACGGAAAGGCCCUUCGGGGUACUCGAGUGGCGGACGGCUGAGUAACGCGUGGGAACGUGCCCCAAAGUGAGGGAUAACGCACCGAAAGGUGUGCUAAUACCGCAUAUGGUCUUCGGAUUAAAGCUUCGGCGCUUUGGGAGCGGCCCGCGUACGAUUAGAUAGUUGGUGAGGUAAUGGCUCACCAAGUCGACGAUCGUUAGCUGGUCUGAGAGGAUGAUCAGCCAGACUGGGACUGAGACACGGCCCAGACUCCUACGGGAGGCAGCAGUAAGGAAUCUUCCACAAUGGGGGCAACCCUGAUGGAGCAACGCCGCGUGCAGGAUGAAGGUUUUCGGAUCGUAAACUGCUUUUAUAAGUGAAGAAUAUGACGGUAACUUAUGAAUAAGAAUCGGCUAACUACGUGCCAGCAGCCGCCGCCGUAA
rnacentral:rRNA from 1 species